rnacentral:rRNA from 1 species
GACGAACGCUGGCGGCGUGCUUAACACAUGCAAGUCGAACGCUGAAGCUUGGUGCUUGCACUGGGUGGAUGAGUGGCGAACGGGUGAGUAAUACGUGAGUAACCUGCCCUUGACUCUGGGAUAAGCCUGGGAAACUGGGUCUAAUACUGGAUACGACAUGCCACUGCAUGGUGGUGUGUGGAAAGGGUUUUACUGGUUUUGGAUGGGCUCACGGCCUAUCAGCUUGUUGGUGGGGUAAUGGCCUACCAAGGCGACGACGGGUAGCCGGCCUGAGAGGGUGACCGGCCACACUGUGACUGAGACACGGCCCAGACUCCUACGGGAGGCAGCAGUGGGGAAUAUUGCACAAUGGGCGGAAGCCUGAUGCAGCGACGCCGCGUGAGGGAUGACGGCCUUCGGGUUGUAAACCUCUUUCAGCACGGAAGAAGCGAGAGUGACGGUACGUGCAGAAGAAGCGCCGGCUAACUACGUG